rnacentral:rRNA from 1 species
ACGUCAUUCAGAGGAAGUAAAAGUCGUAACAAGGUUCCCGUAGGUGAACCUGCGGAAAGAUCAUUAUCGAAAUUAUUCGGUGAGGGUUGUAGCUGGCCUUUCGAGGCAAGUGCACGCUCGAGCCCUUAAUCCACUUUACACCUGUGCACUUAAUGUAGGUCGCCCUUAAAAAAGGUGACCUAUGUCUUAUCAUCAACCCAUCGUAUGUCUCAUAGAAUGUAAUCGAUAUCCUCGCCCUGAAAAAGCGUUGAUAAACUUAUACAACUUUCAACAACGGAUCUCUUGGCUCUCGCAUCGAUGAAGAACGCAGCGAAAUGCGACAAGUAAUGUGAAUUGCAGAUUUUCAGUGAAUCAUCGAAUCUUUGAACGCACCUUGCGCUCCUUGGUAUUCCGAGGAGCAUGCCUGUUUGAGUGUCAUUAAAUUCUCAACUCCAAGGGUUUCACGACCUUUCGGAGAUUGGACUUGGAGGUGCUGGCCGCAUAUUGGUCGGCUCCUCUCAAAUGCAUCAGCGGAAUUCAACCUUUGGCUUCCGGAUGUCAGUGUGUUAAUCAUGUUGCGCUGUCGUUUGAUCCCUCAGAGUCCGCUUAUAAUGGUCUUCGGACAAAAUCAUCAUCAAAUUUGACCUCAAAUCAGGUAGGACUACCCGCUGAACUUAAGCAUAUCAAUAAGCGGAGGA